CUGAAGAUCUUGAGCCGUGCUGGAUGGAAAGUGUCAAGAGUAACUCCCUAAAGAUAGUCAAGUGAUGGACAGCGCGCCGACUACUGCCGUUUCCAUGCCGCCUUUCCCCCAGUCUUUGCUAGAGGGGCUCCUCUGUCCCACGUGAUCUCACCCAGGGACCCGGGCGCGGUGUCUCCUCUGCAUGACUGGAAACCUACAGCGGGCAUACCCGCGGUCCAGCGUAACCUGGAUGGCCUCUGCCAGAGGGUGUUCUCUCUAAAGCGAGGUCCUGGCCGCACCCGUGCAGGACUUGGAGGAGAGCAGGACGGGUCCAGUCACCAAGAGCCGCCUCCUCGGGCAGUGGAAGGGAAGGUCGAAGGAGCGGAGGCAGCGGGCGGGGGCCUGCGGGGAGGGGCGCGGGGUCCACUGCCAUCCCCAGGACAGGGCGGGGAGGGGUUCCAGCGCGUGCAUCGCAGCGCAGGAGUCUCGAAAUGUUGAGAGGAUUCUCUCCCCAGGGCUAAACUGUAGUCUGUUUUCCAGGUAAGCUGGGAAAGGUAUCUGCCUGCUUUCCUCAAGUGUUGUCUUUUGGGAUAAUUGAUCAACCUGAGCGAGAGAGGUCGACGUGUAGCUGAGGCGUAGCUUUUCUCCUUCUGCGGAAAACGAUGUAGGUCACGGAAGGGAUUUCUCCCUCCGCCUGAUCAUUCAAGGAGAAGCCUUGUGACCUACGAAAGAACAGCAUGCUGUUGUAGCCCUGGCGAGGGGAUUAACGGUCUUGUGCCUGUAAAAGAGCAGCCCAGCUCCUGUGUAGUCCUUUGAUUCCGGAAACAGGAGCCCGAUUCUUCCCUCCGCUUGGACGGAGUUGGUCCUGGCGGGGGCCGUUGGCGAGGAAUGGCAGCGGGGCCAGUUCUUAGACAAUCGCCUUCGCACCGGGCUCCCCACACUUGCGCAAAGGAGUGGACCCUUUCACCUUCUUAGUGAUUUGCUGAUGGAAGCAAUUUGUGUAUGUUUAAAUGUCAUUGGCUUGUGAAACAGUCAGACAAACUUUUUAGUCCAGCAAAGAGGUCCAUCAAGACCCAUCUGUAUUUAAAAAUCUUGAAAAUGUAGGUUUUCUAUUUAGCUCAGCUAAUGGCAUUUCCGUUUCUUUCUUUCUUUUUUUUUUAGCUUUUCAGGGCCACACCUGCAUCAUGUGGAAGUUCCCAGGCCAGGGGUCGAAUGGGAGCUACAACUGCUGGCCUACACCACAGCCCCAGCAGCGCUGGAUCCUUCACCCACUGAUUGAUGCCAGGCAUCGAACCCGCAUCCUCAUGGAUACUAGUCGGGUUCAUUAACCACUGAGCCAUGAAGGGAACUCCCUCAGUUUAUUAUUCUUGAGGUAGACUUGACAGAUGACACUAUUUUAGUUUCCGGUGUGCCGUGUAAUAAUUUGAUAUUCGUAUAUAUUGUGAAAUGCUCACCACAGUGAGUCUCGUUAACAUCCCUUACCACACGGUGUGAUAGAAUUUUGUUCUUGUGAUGAGAACUUUUAAGAUCUAGGCGUUUCCCGUCGUGGCUCAGUGGAAAUGAAGCUGACUAGCACCCAUGAGGACACAGGUUCCAUCCCUGGCCUUGCUCAGUGGGUUGAGGAUCCGGCGUUGCCGUGAGCUGUGGUGUAGGUUGCAGACGUGGCUCAGAUCUGGCGUUGCCGUGGCUCUGGUAUAGGCCGGCGGCUACAGCUCCAAUUCCACCCCUCGCCUGGGAACCUCCAUAUGCCGCAGGUAUGUUUAGCUCAAUAAGUGCUGUUGGCUGGUGGAUUUUUCCCUUUGUGCAAACCUUAGAGGACAUUCGGUGUGGUCAUAUUUGGAAGAAAGGGCAUGGAAGAAGUCACACUGGUUGGACACAAUCUCUGAAUGGAAGGAAUUGGCAUCUUUGGGUCCCAGAUCUUCUCCUGAAACCCGUGCCAUCCGGUCUUCACGGUACUGCCUGUAGCACCAGCCCCAGCUUUCCUUAAUGUACAUUUCCUCUUGGCUACCUCUGUGUACACCACAUGCAGGAGUCUUCUUAUACGAGAGAGUUCUCUGUGUUUUGAUGUUGUCUGGCUCUUUGCGGUUGGGGGAAAGAAAGUUCUGGGGGAGCAGUCUCCCUCCUUUCCUUCCUCCCCUUUCUGUGAUCGCAGUGCAGGCCCGAUUCAGUUGCUCCGUUUCUCUCUCAGGAAGGCGGGGGCACACGCUGCAGGGCAGGCUUGGGCCUUGUCCCCACGCCCCAGGGCCCAGAGGAGUCUUGUGUUGCAGAUGGACAGAGUGUUUGACGGGCUCCCAGGUGAUGCUCAGCUGAUAAAGUGGAAAGCGUGUCCUAAGCUUGGAGACUCUGGAGUUCUCAUCAGGGCAGGGGUUAGAGCCCCUCCCGACAAGGGCUGUGGACCACCCACAUGAAAUCCAGAAGCCCUUUGCCCUCCCCACUGUCCUGGGUCUCUCCUCACAUGGAGCAUGGAGUCCUGUGGGCAGAUCUGGCAUCUCGGGACUUUUGGCUUCCCCUUUGGUUUGAAUCUUCUGGUGAGCUACCACCGUGACCUUGAUCUUCAAGAGCCUCUUUUUAAAAAAACUUUCUAUGCUCGCCGAUUGGCCGUGUUCUGUCAAUUUCUGCUGUACAGCAAAGUGACCCGGUUACACGUUCGUGCACAGUCUUUAUCUCACACCAUCCUCCAUCCUGCUGCAUCCCAGGUGAGUAGAUGUGGUUCCCUGUGCUGUACCGCAGGGUGUCAUUGCUUAUCCACUCCAAACGCAGUCGUUUGCAUCUUCAGGAGUCUCAAUAGCCCUGACCUCCUAGGCCUGUCACGUAGGGGCAGAGUCGUGGCAUCUCAGUGCCCUGGCAGCAGAACUCGGUUCCUAACCAUCGCUCGCCGUGUUGGCCGGUCACAGUUCGUUCUUGGCAAACAUCCGUGAGCGAAUGCCGCGUGCUUCACAUGGUGCCUCGUAAACCAGGGGCCUGUCCACGGGGCCACAGUGGACACAAGCAGACAGUGCCCACCCCCCACUUGUCCCUCCUGUUGCCCCUUGGUGCCCUGGGCGAUAUACUCCCACAGUGAGUGUGGUGGGAGUGGCCCCCCACCGCCUGGGCCUUACCUCUCGUUGGACCUCAGUUUCUUACUCUUGUGGAAGCCAAGACCUCAGGUAGUUUCUCAGAGCAUCCUCCGAACAAGGAGGGAGGCCCAGCCCCCGAGGGUGCCUUCUCAGGCAGCCUUUGCCUUGCCGCCGUCCCCAGAAGCAGGGCUGUGCUUCCCUGGCCCUUUCCCCAACCUUGCUGCUUUAGGAAGUGGGCUUGCUCGUGACUAGUUCAGUUGCCGGUAUCGGAACAAAAUGUAAGCAUGUCUCUGUUUCUGUCGUUGAUAUUCAUAGAACACCAAGCCCUGCCUGGGAUUCCAGUUCUCUGCACCUUUACCGGCAUUGGAUGUUCUUUAACUUGGUCAUUUUUGCCAACCUGAAGACGUGAACCGAGUAGCUUGCUUUUCAGAAAUGCCUUGUCUGGAGUUCCCGUCAUGGCUCAGAGGAAGCGAGUCUAACUAGUAUCCACGAGGACGCAGAUCCUUCAAAAAGUCACACUCUUCCUGCUGCUGAAGUACAGACGGCCAUAAGAAUGAAUAGGAACCGGAUCAACAAUGCCUUCUUUUUAAAUGACCAGACUCUGGAAUUUUUAAGGAUUCCUUCCACUCUUGCACCACCUACUGAGCCAUCUGUGCCCACCUGGAUUAUUAUAUUUGGUGUGAUAUUUUCCAUCACUGUAGUUGCAACCAUGCUGUUGAUUUUAUCUGGAAUCCGGGAGCGCAGAAGGAAGAACGAAGGACCGUCUGAAAUGGAAAACACGGAAGAUAAGUGUGAAAACACGGUCACAAUUGAAAAUGGCAUCCCCUGUGAUCCCCUGGACAUGAAGGGAGGACACAUUAAUGAUGCCUUUGGAACAGAGGAUGAGCGGCUCACCCCUCUCUGAAUGGCUACUGUUUUGCUUUCCCGUGAAACACAACACUUAUUUCUGUGCAACUGCUGAACAUCCAGUUUGUCAAGGGCAGAUUAUAUAUUUUGUUUCACCAUUCUUCUUUUCUAAGAAAUUUUGCAUGUGCAUGACAUUGAAAGGCAAUGAAUUAUACUCAUGAAGACCAUUGGAAUCAUAAGCUGUUGACUAUCCAGAAUUUUCUAAAAUAUUUUCUCUGACAACACUGCGUGAGUGUACUCAUGUGGUGUUUGUAGUUAUUUGUAGUUGUUGAUUUUAAAAUGCAUUAGUAUUUAAGCAUUUCCAGAUAUAAGGCCAGGCCAGCAUAUAUAUAUACUUUGAAGACUGAAGAAAAACUAUUUUUCCAUUGGAGAAUGCCUAUACAAUGGAGUCCAAAUUGUUGACAAUGGAUCCUUUUUGAAUAUCACUUAUAUCACUCUGUUGAUGACUAAAUAAGCAAGAACGACAAGUAAUUAUUGUCAGUGGGACAGGUAAAAAUCGUUGGUAUACAAGGUGGAAUUUGAUCCUGUUAUCAUACCAACAGUUGCUUAUAUAUAUUUUGUGACUCAGUCUCUAAUAGGACAGUCUAUUCAUUGAUUAUUUCUGCAAUUUGUGAAAGUACAAUCUAUGCUAAUUUAAUAAAGUGCUCUUUCUCAUCUCUUUU
rnacentral:lncRNA from 1 species